rnacentral:rRNA from 1 species
UGGGGAAUUUUGCACAAUGGGGGAAACCCUGAUGCAGCGACGCCGCGUGAUUUAGAAGGCCUUCGGGUUGUAAAAAUCUUUUCUAUGGGAAGAAAAUGACAGUACCAUAGGAAUAAGGACCGGCUAAUUACGUGCCAGCAGCCGCGGUAAUACGUAAGGUCCGAGCGUUGUCCGGAAUCAUUGGGCGUAAAGGGUACGUAGGCGGGUAAGCAAGUUAGAAGUGAAAUCCUAUAGCUCAACUAUAGUAAGCUUUUAAAACUGCUCAUCUUGAGGUAUGGAAGGGAAAGUGAAAGUCCUAGUGUAGCGGUGAAAUGCGCAGAUAUUAGGAGGAAUACCGGUGGCGAAGGCGAAUUUCUGGCCAUAACCUGACGCUGAGGUACGAAAGCGUGGGUAGCAAACAGG